ensembl:lincRNA
CCACUGGAGUGGCCUGUAAGGGAUCUUCACAGCCCUGCGUCCACAGACGCCCUCCGGCACUGAUGCAGGAAGCCUAAUGGUCUGGGCUUCCUGGGCCCCACCCUGGACAGAUGCUGGCCUCUGCCAGAGCAAGUCUGCUUUUAUAGGCACCCGUGAGGUUCUGAGGAAGCGCACAAUCCCCUUCUCACCCAUUAGCCUUUAGCACCUGCCAGGCUGGGGUCAGGGCAAGCGUUAUCACUUGUGAGUUCCAGUGCAGAUGAAAAUGCAAGGCCCUUUAUUCAAAAAGCAGGAGAAAAGCUUUUUUCUUUCUUCUGUGGUCUCCCUCUUGACCCAUCAUGGUGUUAUUAAGUUUGCUAUUUAAUGUUGCAUCUUCUUCAGGCAUGGGGACACAGGCAAGGUGAGUACAGACCUUCACAGACUUCUGGAAUCUUCCCUGUGUUUGCACCCAGGCUUUGCUGAGGAUGCUGCAGCUUAGAGACCUCUGGGCUCAGGUUGGAGGAAAAGUGAUUGCAGCAGGAAGAAAGCCGUGCAGCUGGCAGCAAGCAGAUGUAACAAUAUUUUCCUCACUUCCUGGAAAUGGCUCUCUGCUCUAGCAUUUCAGCAUUAUCCAGGAGAUAUCUUAAAGUGAUGGUUAAGUCAGAGCACUGUGAAGAGUAUUUGCGUGGCGACUCUUCCGAAGUGUUAAAAUCUAUGGUGGGAGAAAUCAAGCAGGAGGUAAGUUGAGGAUUGGAUUAAGUGGCCUUGUGCUGUUGGACCCAUCUUGUUAUAAUGACAAGGUCAGCAGUCCCUGGAGGACAUGUCACUCCCUGACCAUGCAUAGGCAUGUAUUCAUACAUGUAUGCACACACACACACACACACACUCACUC